GAUUUAGUGGCGAACGGGUGAGUAACGCGUGAGUAACCUGCCCUGGAGUGGGGGACAACAGUUGGAAACGACUGCUAAUACCGCAUAAGCCCACGGUACCGCAUGGCACUGAGGGAAAAGGAUUUAUUCGCUUCAGGAUGGACUCGCGUCCAAUUAGCUAGUUGGUGAGGUAACGGCCCACCAAGGCGACGAUUGGUAGCCGGACUGAGAGGUUGAACGGCCACAUUGGGACUGAGACACGGCCCAGACCCCUACGGGAGGCAGCAGUGGGGGAUAUUGCACAAUGGGGGAAACCCUGAUGCAGCGACGCCGCGUGGAGGAAGAAGGUUUUCGGAUUGUAAACUCCUGUCGUUAGGGACGAUAAUGACGGUACCUAACAAGAAAGCACCGGCUAACUACGUGCCAGCAGCCGCGGUAAAACGUAGGGUGCAAGCGUUGUCCGGAAUUACUGGGUGUAAAGGGAGCGCAGGCGGACCGGCAAGUUGGAAGUGAAAUCCAUGGGCUCAACCCGUGAAUUGCUUUCAAAACUGCUGGCCUUGAGUAGUGCAGAGGUAGGUGGAAUUCCCGGUGUAGCGGUGGAAUGCGUAGAUAUCGGGAGGAACACCAGUGGCGAAGGCGACCUACUGGGCACCAACUGACGCUGAGGCUCGAAAGCAUGGGUAGCAAACAGGAUUAGAUACCCUGGUAGUCCAUGCCGUAAACGAUGAUUACUAGGUGUUGGAGGAUUGACCCCUUCAGUGCCGCAGUUAACACAAUAAGUAAUCCACCUGGGGAGUACGACCGCAAGGUUGAA
rnacentral:rRNA from 1 species